AGAUGUGAGGGCAAUCUGGCUGUGACAUCUGUCGCCUCAUUGAUUGCCACAGUGGAUUAGGCUGAUCUGGCUGGUUAGGCGGGUGUCUCCUUCUUUCCUCACUGCUCCAUGUGUGUCCCUCCUGAAGCUGUGCACUUGAUCAAAGAGGACGACCUUCCCUGACAGAGGAGGACCAUUCUUCGGUCAAGGGUAUGCGAGUAGCUGCGCUCCCCUGCUAGAACCUCCAAACAGGCUCUCAACUUCCGGAGUUAUUACAUAGUUACACUAUUCCAUACUGUGUGGUACUGGCACAGGGUUAGACAAAUUGAUC
rnacentral:snRNA from 1 species